UACGGAGGGAGCUAGCGUUGUUCGGAAUUACUGGGCGUAAAGCGCACGUAGGCGGCUUUUUAAGUCAGGGGUGAAAUCCCGGGGCUCAACCCCGGAACUGCCCUUGAAACUGGAGAGCUAGAAUCUUGGAGAGGCGAGUGGAAUUCCGAGUGUAGAGGUGAAAUUCGUAGAUAUUCGGAAGAACACCAGUGGCAGGCAGGACGACUGCUGGACAAGUUAUUGGACG
rnacentral:rRNA from 1 species